rnacentral:rRNA from 1 species
UCUGUAGCAAGGUUAACCGUAUAGGGGAGCCGUAGGGAAACCGAGUCUUAACCGGGCGUUAAGUUGCAGGGUAUAGACCCGAAACCCGGUGAUCUAGCCAUGGGCAGGUUGAAGGUUGGGUAACACUAACUGGAGGACCGAACCGACUAAUGUUGAAAAAUUAGCGGAUGACCUGUGGCUGGGGGUGAAAGGCCAAUCAAACCGGGAGAUAGCUGGUUCUCCCCGAAAGCUAUUUAGGUAGCGCCUCGUGAAUUCAUCUCCGGGGGUAGAGCACUGUUUCGGCUAGGGGGCCAUCCCGGCUUACCAACCCGAUGCAAACUGCGAAUACCGGAGAAUGUUAUCACGGGAGACACACGGCGGGUGCUAACGUCCGUCGUGAAGAGGGAAACAACCCAGACCGCCAGCUAAGGUCCCAAAGUCAUGGUUAAGUGGGAAACGAUGUGGGAAGGCCCAGACAGCCAGGAUGUUGGCUUAGAAGCAGCCAUCAUUUAAAGAAAGCGUAAUAGCUCACUGGUCGAGUCGGCCUGCGCGGAAGAUGUAACGGGGCUAAACCAUGCACCGAAGCUGCGGCAGCGAACGUAUCACCCAAGACAACUUUACGGAGUUGACGAUUGACGGAGCGAAGCGACGUCAAAGCGUUCAUUAAAGUCGAGUUGGCUUAGGGAUACGUUCGUUGGGUAGGGGAGCGUUCUGUAAGCCUGUGAAGGUGUGUCGUGAGGCAUGCUGGAGGUAUCAGAAGUGCGAAUGCUGACAUAAGUAACGAUAAAGCGGGUGAAAAGCCCGCUCGCCGGAAGACCAAGGGUUCCUGUCCAACGUUAAUCGGGGCAGGGUGAGUCGACCCCUAAGGCGAGGCCGAAAGGCGUAGUCGAUGGGAAACGGGUUAAUAUUCCCGUACUUGGUGUUACUGCGAAGGGGGGACGGAGAAGGCUAUGUUGGCCGGGCGACGGUUGUCCCGGUUUAAGCGUGUAGGUGUGUGUUCCAGGUAAAUCCGGUUCACUUUAACACUGAGGCGUGACGACGAGGCACUACGGUGCUGAAGCAACAAAUGCCCUGCUUCCAGGAAAAGCCUCUAAGCAUCAGGUAACACGAAAUCGUACCCCAAACCGACACAGGUGGUCAGGUAGAGAAUACCAAGGCGCUUGAGAGAACUCGGGUGAAGGAACUAGGCAAAAUGGUGCCGUAACUUCGGGAGAAGGCACGCUGACACGUAGGUGAAGUGAUUUACUCAUGGAGCUGAAGUCAGUCGAAGAUACCAGCUGGCUGCAACUGUUUAUUAAAAACACAGCACUGUGCAAACACGAAAGUGGACGUAUACGGUGUGACGCCUGCCCGGUGCCGGAA